GACGCACUGUCCUAACGUUGUUCGGAAUCACUGGGCUUAAAGGGCGCGUAGGCGGUCAGCACAAGUCAGUUGUGAAAUCUCCGGGCUUAACUCGGAAAGGUCAACUGAUACUGUGCGACUAGAGUGCAGAAGGGGCAACUGGAAUUCUCGGUGUAGCGGUGAAAUGCGUAGAUAUCGAGAGGAACACCUGCGGCGAAGGCGGGUUGCUGGGCUGACACUGACGCUGAUGCGCGAAAGCCAGGGGAGCGAACGGG
rnacentral:rRNA from 1 species